AUUGAACGCUGGCGGCAGGCCUAACACAUGCAAGUCGAGCGGAUGAAGGGAGCUUGCUCCUGGAUUCAGCGGCGGACGGGUGAGUAAUGCCUAGGAAUCUGCCUGGUAGUGGGGGAUAACGUCCGGAAACGGGCGCUAAUACCGCAUACGUCCUGAGGGAGAAAGUGGGGGAUCUUCGGACCUCACGCUAUCAGAUGAGCCUAGGUCGGAUUAGCUAGUUGGUGGGGUAAAGGCCUACCAAGGCGACGAUCCGUAACUGGUCUGAGAGGAUGAUCAGUCAAACUGGAAAUGAGAAAAGGUCCAGAAUCCUAAGGGAGGCAGGAGUGGGGAAUAUUGGACAAUGGGGGAAAGCCUGAUCCAGCCAUGCCGCGUGUGUGAAGAGGGUCUUCGGAUUGUAAAGCACCUUAAGUUGGGAGGAAGGGCAGUAAGUUAAUACCUUGCUGUUUUGACGUUACCAAACGAAUAAGCAACGGCUAAAUUCGUG
rnacentral:rRNA from 1 species